CUGUUUUACUUUUGGAAUCCUGAUCAAGCUGUGUGCUACAGCCGUCAGGCUACAAAACCCUUUCUGAAUUCACUGGAGGGUAAGAAUAUUGUAAUCCCCGGUGGUUUUCAAUGAGGCUUCUCCAUACUUAAGAGAUUGUUUUAUGGGGGUGGUGGUGGAAAGAAAGCCCCACUUAGAUCACCGUGUCCUUCCCUAUCUACUCUGAAGAAGGCCUUUCUUCCUCAACUUCAACAUGCUCCCAAAUGCCUGGGAACUUCAGCAGUUUUGGGGACCAAAUUGAGGGCCUGGAGCAUGCAGGGCUGAUGUUCUCCACAGAGUUACGUGUCCAUUGAAGGUGUUUAAUCUUCUUCCAGAAAUCUCUAUAUGCCUGUGAAGCUCAGAGUAUAAUGAGAUAGAAAGAAAGCCACAGGGAAACAUAGCCACAAGGUGGAGGUUUCCAAAUCAAAAUGGCCUUAAAAUGGACAUUUUGGAGAACCUUUUGUAAAGCAGCAUCAAGGUGGAGAAAGAAGGAGGGGCCAUGGUCUAGGUGGCUGUGAUGGCCAGUUCUGUCAUUUUCAUACAACGUAAAGUUAUCUGAGAUGGGAAUCUUAUUGACAGAUUGCCUAGAUCAGCUUGGCUUUGUGGGCAGGUCUGGGGGGGAUUGUCUUGAUUGCAUUAACUGAGGCAGAAAGACCCGCCCACUCUGGCACCAUUCCCUAUGAUGGGGCCCUAGAGUAUACAGAAAAGAGGAAUUAGACUGAGCACUAGGUAAGUACGAAUGUAUUCGCUCCCUGUCCUUGUUUGUGGACGUGACUAGCUGCUUCAAUUUCCCCACGAUGAUGAACUGUAACCAAGGAAACCCUUCCUCCCUACACCAUCUUUGUCAGGUGUUCUCUCACAGCCAACUGGAAAGAAAACUGAGACAGAAACCUAGGACCCAGAGGACACUCCAAUGUGUCAAACACCCCUCAGGAACAGGGAAGCUUUUGCGUGACACAGAGUGUAUGCCUCUGCAGCCUAACCAUUCUCUCUGGGGACAACAUACAUCUCUGACCUCAUGACCUCCAAGACACCCUGCCCGCUCCAAGUCCUGCCUGGAACAAAUGGCAGGGCGUUUCAUUUACUUGCCACCCAUCACAGGAAAUCUGACAAUCUUCACUUCCUGUCAGGUAACAUGUAAAGAUAUUGGAAAGCACAGAUGUUGGCUGGACACUAAAAUCAAUGCUGCACACUCUCAGAGCAUCUAGGUGGCAGAUGUGGAAUACAUGUCCUGAACAGACAGCUUCAUGCUUGCACUGAGGAGGGUCUCUGCUGAAGAUCCCGCUGGCUGGGACACUCAUCUAGACGAGAAAAAUGGUCGAAGGACACAUGUGGGAAACCAGGCACCUUAAGCAGGAAACACACAGAUCAUCUCUAAGAAAACAAGCCAUAUGGAAGUGAAGGACUCACAGGUAGGGUCCCAGCGUUAGUCUUGUGCAGUGUCUGAGGGGCACUGGUUCACAUCCAAAGUGGGCAGCAGGUCCUUAAGCAAGGAAACCACUCCAGCUCUACACAGAAGCCUGGAUGUCAGAGCAAGGACCCCUGGGAGCCAUGCUGAGUUUUAAGAACCAGACUCAUCUCACUCAGUGACCUUCCUUGGAGUAGCCUAAAAGAAGGCUGAGCCUGCUUUCACAGUCCCAGGAACUGUGCUGCGCGUCACAGAUACAGAUUCUCAGCUGUGGAUGGGAAGACAGAAAAAGCCAUGCAUUGGCUCAGACUGACACAGCAGGUUCCAGACUAUGGGAUGGAGCCUCACAGAGUCAGGAUCUCUCACUGAACCUGAAGCUAACUGAUAUCUCUUGACUACCUGGCCAAUGAGCUUCAGAGAUCUGCCAGUCUCCACACCCCUUCUCUCUAGUGAUACGAUCCAUAGUCUCAACUGUCUCCGGAUAUCAGAAUGAGCGCUGGAACCAUCAUUUGCAGGGCAAGUCUGAAGCUGGGCACAGUCCUGCUCUGCUGUGUUUGCAGAUGUUUACAAGUGGGUCUUUCCUCCAUCAAGCAUCCUCAGCUCCCUUCACGGAAGGUGAGGGAAGCUGCAUGGGACAAGGCCAUCUUCUGUCCUCCUAGGUUGGAGCCUGGCAUGUGGGAGGGUUGCAGCCACAGCUUCCUUCCCUCUUAGCACCUCCGCACUGCUCACACUGGCAGGUGGGGCUAACCUCAAAGGAGCAAAAUGGCCCCAGGAGGCAGGGCCCUCUGUGGAAGCCAUGCUGCCUCCAGGAUGAUAUAUGAACAAGGUCUUUCUAUCACUUGCCCAAGCUUGAACACUACGUUGAUUUAAAAAAAAAAAGUGAAUUAUUUAAGGAUACUCCCUUCCAGAAGUGGGGUCUAGUGCAUGGGAUGGUGUGGGGGUAGGCACUUUGGGAUGCAUCCAGUGAAAAGCUGAAGUGACCAAGUGCACCUUUGGACCUCACAGGGGGAUAGCAACUCUGUCUCCUUCAGCCUCACUGUCCUCUGCCCCCUCCUUCACAGAUCAUUCCUACUGACAGAAGCCUGGGACCACAGCAUCAGAAGGAAUCCAUCUGUCCAGGCAGUCAGGUUCAGACGGCAGCCAUGUGACCUCAUGUGCACGUGGGCCCCUCACCCAGUCACGCUUCAGGGUUUCCAGUGCUGUGUUUGCUGUCCUAAGGCAUAGUUAAGAGUGUUUCUAGAACAGGAGAUAUGGGGUGACCUGACAGGCAUGUCUGCAGCCUCUGAGAUGCAUGUUCAAUGCAGCCGGAUGACCCAGGUACCCGGUGCUACACUGACAUGGGGAGGUGGGGCAUGGCGACCUGGAGUCACAUGGAGAAAUGCCAUGAGUGGGUCACACUGUUGGGCAAACUAGCCAGAAGGCUGAGUGGCAGGCAGGGAAAGUCUGAACUGCCCAGAGCAUGCCAUGCAAUGUGGGAACAUGCCGCUACCACAGGUGAGGCAAUUCUGUCCCAUCCAUGAGCCACUAACGGAGGGGCACAUGGUAUAAUCCAAAUUUGACCUUUAAUGGUCUUGCUACUUAACUAUGCCCACUCCCCACGAUCCAUUGUUAUAAACACAGCUUACUGUGGGCAAAUACCAGUGCUCUCUGUUCUUAUGUGGAGCUUAGCUUCUGUGGCAGUGGGUAUUCCUGUGGGAGUGUGUAGAUGACAGGAAGCCAGAAAGGGGUUCUUCCUCUCCCAUGGGAGAAGAAAAAGAGGUCUAAAAGGAGAGGGGAUGGGCCAUAUGUGAUAUGGAAGUCAAAGGGGGAACAGUUAGUUGUAAAGGCUAACGGGGCAUGCAGAGUGGAGAGACAGGGAAGAGGAGGAGGGGACACAGAAACUAAGUCUCUAUGCAAAUGCCAUAGAGAAACCUGUCCCUUGUGUUGUGGUUUGAAUAAAAAUGCUCCCCCGUGCCCCCAUAGGCUUAUGUGGGGACAUAUGGUCCCCAGUUGGUGGUAUUGUUUAGGGAGGUUAUGGGAUGUUUUGGAGGUGGGGCCUUGCUGGAGGAAGUUUGUCACUGGGGGUGGACUUAGAAUAUCUGUAGCCAGGUCUCACUUCCUGUUCUCUCUCUCUGUCUCUCUCUCUGUCUCUCUCUCUCUCUCUCUCUCUCUCUCUCUCUCUCUCUCUCUCUCUCUCUCUCUCCUUCUUGUGUGAAGCUCAAAUGUGGUCUCACUGCAUCUUGACUGCCAGGCUGGCCUCAGGCUCCAGCUCUCAUGCCUUCCCUGCCAGCGUGGACUUUUUCCCUCUGGAACCAUAAGCCAGAAGAAACCCUUUCUUCCUUACAAUGUUUUUUGUCAGAGUAUUCUAUCACCUCAAUGGAAAAAAUAAUACAAAUUGUAAGCUAAUUUAAAGAUAUAAAUAAAUUAAGUCAGAAGAAUAAAGUAGAAAUUAUUACUUAAUCAUAAUUUCUCACAUAGCAAUGCCGAUCUAAUUUACAAGACUCUGUCUAGUGUUAGUGUUUACUGACCCACCAUGUUCCCUUAAUGUGAGCUGUGAUAUUAAUUUCCUUACAAAGUGAAGAAUUCUCUUGAAAAAUGGUUUUAAUGAUGACAUAAUAUUGUGUUUUCAGGUAGAACAAAACACCAAGAGAUAGCAUUUUAAUUCCUCACCCAGAGGCAUAGAGGAUUGUCCCAUAGCAUCUCAGCCACACAGGUAGCUUCAUGUUGCCAGCUUGUUCAGUGGGCAUAUGGCUAUUCUCAUGGAAAUACCUACUGUUGGUCUAUUGUUAGCAUCAUUUUCUAUAGAGGAGUUUUGGAGGCUGAUCACAGCAGACCUUUAUCAAGUUGCACAAUGUCUCUGGGGGAUUUUUUUCUUAUCUGUAAAAAUGGGCUGUGAAAUUAUUUACAACUUUUCACUAUCAUGCAUGCCAUUGAAUGGCUACCACAGCUGAGGACUCUGUGUGCAUAUGAUGGUGCAUUUAGACGCCCACUGUGUUUCUGUUCUCCAUAUUGACAAUCCUUAAGGGUCAUUUAAAAGGCUCUGCCACCACUUGUGAAGUCCGUACCAGCUCAGCCAUUGCCUGAGCAUCACAGGUCACCUAGCAACAUCUCCCAGCAGCUGUCCUUCCCCUGUGUCCAGCCUAAGGCUUCAGAGCUGAGUUGAGGUUGGAUCUCCACAGCCUUUUUGGUGAACACCUGGCAGCCGCAGCCAGCUUCCCCAGCCCAGACAGUCAGGUACUCCAAGCUCCUAGCUUAUCUACAUCAACCUGCCCUCCCCAUAUCGGCCUUUCAGAUACUAUUGCAUGUUGCCAGAGGUCACACUCAGGACAGGCUACAAACCCAGGAGGAACUGAAUAAUUUCCCCCUACAUACGGCACCCCUCACAUUGGUCCUGCUCAGGUUGGGGGUCCUCUUGGAAGAGCACUGAGUACACAGUCCUGUCUGGGGCUUCUUUACCCUGUCACUUCAUCAGGACUGCCUCUGACUUAGAGAAAACAAUGGAAGUACACAGAGGAGUCUGUACCUUAGAUCCUCCCUCCCUAGUGCAGGAUUUCUACAGGAAGAGACUCUUGCCACAGAAUAGAAGAAGCCCUACCUGAGACAGGCUCUCAGCUUAACCUUCAAUGCUGCUCCUGUCCGACCAACCCACGUUAGCAAGCAGUGGGUGACACACCCUUUCUUUCCCACCAUAUGCUUGGGUAGCUAAGGCACGCCAUACACCCUAAUAUGGAGAUGACAGGCACAAAAGCAUGCAGCUCUCUGAAUAUCGAACCCCAUGGGCUAUUUAACACACUCUGCAGCAAGAGAAUCACGCCCAGCAGAGAUCUCCACCAAGGCUGGCUGCUCUCCAGGAUGAAGACUGUCAACUGCAUGGCCAUAGCAGCAAAGCAAAUGACAGAGUUGCAGCAAACGGGAACCACUGCUUACUGACCUGAUUCUAGAACAUGCUGGGCAUUUGGGCACACUAACCAGCCCUGAACGUGACAAUGUAUCCAUGAUGAUACAAGCAGCCUCUUUCUCAGUCAGGAAGCCCCACACCGCAUAUAUAAAGUGCACGUAUGCUUGUAUUUGUAGAUACAAAUGUAUCCAUAAGACGUAACACAGUAUGUAUGGGAAUAUGCUGUGUUUAUAUAUUAUUUUAAUCAUUCUAAUGAUACUUCUUUUGAGGAAACAGAAAGCAGCGUGAAAGGUUUCCACAGAAAAUCUGGUCUGCUCCCUUUAAAAAAUAUAAAGGUCAUAACACAGCAAAGAAAUAUUCCAGAUCAAAGGAGAUUAAAGAGAAAUAAUGACAACUAAACACUGGGCAACCUGGAUCAGAUCCUGGGAUGGGGUAACACGGUUCAUAGCACACUGUAAAAAUAAGUAAAAUUAGAAUAUGGAUUCUAGAGUGGGUAGUAAUCUGCCCAUUAGAAAUUCUCUAGUUCUGGAACUGGGCCUCAGUAAUCAAAUGUCCUUUUUAUUGGUCAAGUCCAUAUUUUAGCAUUUAUGGCAAAGGAGAAUAAUUUCUAUAAUUAAAUUCAAAGUGCUUAGUCAAAACAAAAGGAUUUCCCAACAUGCAUGCAGAAGAAAAUAAGGAAAUGCAGCACAUAAACCUGGGUGGCACUCUGUGGGGGAGACCUCAGAAUAUGCAUUGUACUAUUUACACAACUAUUCUGAAAACUGAAAUUAUAUUGCAAGUAAAAUCACAAUGCAAAGGAGAGAGCCAGAUGAGCAUAGGGAGGGAUCUGGAGAGACUUCCUUCCGGCACAAGGGUAGCCCCUGUUCUGUGUCACUUUAGGGACAAGCAAUAAAACUCCUGAAUACUGCUGAGAGCCACAAGGGUCUGUGACGCACCUUGCCUACCCAUCCUAGAGAGAACCUGACUUGAGACUUCCAGAACACCCCGCUUCUCCUCAGUGUCGCCUCAACCCACUCCUAAGGUUGCACCAUGUCCUGACUUCACAGUCCCCUGCAGCUGUGAGCCCUGCGUGGUCAGAGGCAAUGCUGCAAGAAGCAUGAAGCUGAAAUACUUUCUUCUGAGACUUACGCCUAGGUGAUCUGAGACUUACUCAAGAUCCUCAUGAAUAAAAACCAUUGCCCUAAACCUUCAGGGCAGCAUUGUAAUACCUGAAAUUGAAUGGGGUUUAGGAUCACCCAGUAUGAGGGAUCUCUGUUUUGAAAUUGUAACCCUUAAUAACCAAGCUAAGAAUGGUUGAAACUUCAUGAGUAAAAUUGUAUAGAAAAAAAUAAAAAAAAAAACAAAACAAGCUGCAGAUGAUUAAUCCGGCUCUCCAUGAGAAGGUGGCUCUCACCACCUUCCAUUUCCAUUUCUUGGAUGGGGUGAAUAUUAGGGUGUGUGAGACUUGUCUGGGGUGAGAACUGCUCAUGGGAUGCCACUGACAACAUGGUGAGUGAUGAACACUGACGAAAACAUGGCUGAAAGACCAGGUGUUGGUUAUCCCCUACGGUACCCAGCAUGCUAGCACGACAAAUGCUUAUGGAGAAGACGCUGGAGGGGGUGGAGUUAAGCAAAUUCAUACAUUUAGAAGGUGCUAGAACUGGGAUUCGGGGCUAAUGCAUCUGGCUCUAAACUCCAAGUUCUUCCUGUGAGCCUUUACCACAUCUAUCUAAACAGGAGCCUCCUCCACAGCCUCUGCAGGAAUUGGACAUCGGUCUGUUUGAACAUCUUGAGGGAAUGAAAAAUCACAAUUCCUGGAGAUACACACUCUGCUUUUUAAACAGUCUGGCAGAAACACUGGCACCCAUGAGCCAAGGCCCACUCUUCACAGCCCUUCAGUUAGUCCAAGCUCAGCUCUCAGAAGCCGUGCUUUGGAAACCCAAGCUCCGUUUCCCUGAGCCGUCUAAGAGCACUUGCCUUUCAACCACAGCUCCCUCCCUGUGGCUUUCAGUUUUGACAUUGCCCUAAAUGGUCACUGUCUAGAUCUGGUGUCCAGGGGUCUGCUGAGAGAGAAGAGUUGGCUCUUCACCAUGCUGGUGGCACUGUGAUUGGGGACUACAAGUGGCCCUUGGACAUUCAAAUGUAUCUGGUAUCAGAAGAACACCAUUUCCUCCAAUCAGUGUGUGUGUGUGUGUAUGUCCCUGUGUGUAUGUGUAUUUCAUGGUAUAAGUGCUGUUGUAUUGUGUAGUGUGUGCACAUGUUUGUGCAUGUGUGUGGAGGUCCAAGGUGGAGUUCUGGUGUCUUCCACCCGUCGGUCUUCACCUUUACUUUUUCAAACAGAAUGCCUUACUGAACUUGAAACUCAUUGACUGCACUAGGUUUGCUGGCCAAAGACCUUCAGGCAUCUGCCUAUUCUCCAGUGCAGGCUGGGUUUACAAGCACUUGCCUUCAUGUCUGGCUUUUUACAUGGGUUCUUGGGAUCUGAACUCAGGUCCUCCUGUUUGUGUGGCAGGGACUUUACUGAUAGAGCGAUUUCCCCAACACAGAGAAGCACAUUCAAACUUUACUCUCAACUGUAUAGAAUUUAAAUACCCAUGGAUAGUGAAUGGCUCUUGUGUUCACACAGACCAAGACCUCUCUAGAAGAG